GACGACAGAUCCUUGUUUCUCAUCUACAAAACCUACUUGGAACUUACGGAGACGUCAGAAGAUGGGUCGUUUUACAGGCGCCCUAUUGGUGGAAUUACUCCCCGUUUCUCAAGCCAGGUUGUCGGUAUCAAUAAAUUAUCAACUCUCAUCAAGACAAUGUGUACAGAGGUGGGCCUAUCCGGAAAUUUUUCAACCAUUCUGGAAAGAGGACCUGUGCCACUUCCUUGUAUAAUAGUGGGGUUGAUGAGCAAUUAAUAAUGGAAAGGACAGGUCAUCGUAGUGAUGCUGUACGGAAAUACAAACGCACCUCUACUACACAACAAAACGAUAUCAGUAAAUUAUUGGAUCCGCCCUCCAAAAAGGCACUCGUAUCAGCAGAUACUAGGUUUACAUCUACAACCGAGCGGGAAUUUGGAAAAAAUCUCAAAAAUGCACAAAUACCGCCAGAAAACAG